rnacentral:rRNA from 1 species
CAGCAGCCACGGGAAUACGAAGGGUGCAAGCGUUAAUCGGAAUUACUGGGCGUAAAGCGUGCGUAGGCGGUGAGUUAAGUCUGCUGUGAAAUCCCCGGGCUCAACCUGGGAAUGGCAGUGGAUACUGGCUCGCUAGAGUGUGUCAGAGGAUGGUGGAAUUCCCGGUGUAGCGGUGAAAUGCGUAGAGAUCGGGAGGAACAUCAGUGGCGAAGGCGGCCAUCUGGGACAACACUGACGCUGAGGCACGAAAGCGUGGGGAGCAAACAGGAUUAGAUACCCGGGUAGUCCCUGUCUCUUAUAA